UGGGGAAUAUUGCACAAUGGGCGCAAGCCUGAUGCAGCCAUGCCGCGUGUAUGAAGAAGGCCUUCGGGUUGUAAAGUACUUUCAGCGAGGAGGAAGGCAUUGUGGUUAAUAACCGCAGUGAUUGACGUUACUCGCAGAAGAAGCACCGGCUAACUCCGUGCCAGCAGCCGCGGUAAUACGGAGGGUGCAAGCGUUAAUCGGACUUACUGGGCGUAAAGCGCACGCAGGCGGUCUGUCAAGUCGGAUGUGAAAUCCCCGGGCUCAACCUGGGAACUGCAUCCGAAACUGGCAGGCUAGAGUCUUGUAGAGGGGGGUAGAAUUCCAGGUGUAGCGGUGAAAUGCGUAGAGAUCUGGAGGAAUACCGGUGGCGAAGGCGGCCCCCUGGACAAAGACUGACGCUCAGGUGCGAAAGCGUGGGGAGCAAACA
rnacentral:rRNA from 1 species